AUUGAACGCUGGCGGCAGGCCUAACACAUGCAAGUCGAGCGAGGGGCGGACGGGUGAGUAAUGUCUGGGAAACUGCCUGAUGGAGGGGGAUAACUACGGGAAACGGUAGCUAAUACCGCAUACUAUCGGAUACGCCCAGAUGGGAUUAGCUAGUAGGUGGGGUAAAGGCUCCCCUAGGCGACGAUCCCUGGCUGGUCUGAGAGGAGGACCAGCCACACUGGAACUGAGACACGGUCCAGACUCCUACGGGAGGCAGCAGUGGGGAAUAUUGCACAAUGGGCGAAAGCCUGAUGCAGCCAUGCCGCGUGUAUGAAGAAGGCCUUAGGGUUGUAAAGUACUUUCAGCGGGGAGGCGUUACCCGCAGAAGAAGCACCGGCUAACUCCGUGCCAGCAGCCGCGGUAAUAC
rnacentral:rRNA from 1 species